GCAAGUCGAGCGGUGAACCACCUUCGGGUGGGGAUCAGCGGCGAACGGGUGAGUAACACGAGGGCAACCUGCCCCAAGCACCGGGAUAACAGAGGGAAACCGCUGCUAAUACCGGAUACGACGUCUGACCGCAUGGUCUGGACGUGGAAAGGAUUCUGGCUUGGGAUGGGCCCGCGGCCUAUCAGCUAGUUGGUGGGGUAAUGGCCUACCAAGGCGACGACGUUUAGCCGGCCUGAGAGGGCGACC
rnacentral:rRNA from 1 species